GUGGCGCCAGCGAGGUCAGGGAUAAGGUCUUGGAAAUCAAAGAGCAACUGAGCAGUGCUGCUCAGCCUAAAGGCUUGAACAACAGGGAAUGCUGAAGAGAAAGAAAGAGAGGGGAGAAAACCUUCUUCGAAAUGAGACAGAAUGCUGCUGAAAUCCUGUUGUUCGAAACCCACGUAUUGGCAACGGCUAUGGAAAAUUGCCUUGCCGGCUUUUUCUUUUCUUUUCUGUUUGAUAAGUAUAAAUGGAGCAAAGGGACUCUGAGGAGUGCUGCCAAUAUCUUAAGGAAUUUUCAGUGGAGCACCAUCUUGGAGAUCACCACAGCAGAUCCUUAUGCUGUCUAAAAGUCUAAUGUGAGAGUCCAGCAAUGGAAAAGGAUGAGCCAACAAUGGAAAAUGGUGGAAACAGAUCCAGCAAGGGGCAUGUUGCUACCUGGAACCUGAGAAGCAGAAGGCAUUAGUACUCACAGAAGGUCAUUCAGGACCCUGGACAGAUCCCAUUUUAAAAGCAAUGUGUUCAGAGAAGGCGUGGAUGCUAAUUGUGUCAGGGGUUGCCAACAUGGUGCCCUCCAGAUGUUGUUGGACUACAACUUGCACCAUCCCUGAUCACUGAGCCACACUUGUUGGAGCUGAUGAGAGUUGGAAUCUAACAUCUGGAGGGCGGAACAUUGGCUAUCACAGCCUUAUGAAUUUCUUGUGUUUAUCCACCUCUCCCAAGUCGUAUCAUCUUCUAGAGACUGGAAAACCUUCAAAGGAGACUCAGACAUCUUUUGCCAGACAUGCUGCCUGUGGGAAAGUUUAAAGGCUGAAAAGGUUUGCACACGGCAUCAGUAAAGGGCAUUUAGUGAAACCUUUCCUAUAGUGGUUGCAAGAGACAGGAACAUGAGAAUAUAGCCAUCUUAUAAAACAUUUGCUUUUGAAUUAUGGUGCUGGAGGAGACUCCUGAGAGUCCCUUUGACUGCAAGAAGAUCAAACCUCUCCAUUCUUAAGGAAAUCAGCCCUGAGUGCUCACUGGAAGGACAGAUCCUGAAGCUGAGGCUCCAAUACUUUGGCCACCUCAUGAGAAGAGAAGACUCCCUGGAAAAGACCCUGAUGCUGGGAAAGAUGGAGGGCACAGGGAGAAGGGGACGACAGAGGACGAGAUGGUUGGCCAGUGUUCUUGAAGCUACCAGCAUGAGUUUGACCAAACUGCGGGAGGCAGUGGAAGACAAGAGUGCCUGGCAUGCUCUAGUCCAUGGGGUCAUGAAGAGUCGGCCACAACUAAACAACUAAACAACAAUAAAACAUUUUCCCUCCACACACCCCUAAUUUCCAAAUCCUAUGGGAAAAUGUUAUUACAAAGUUUCAGGUGGGUACCACUGUAUUUGAUGUUCUGCUGUGCAUGGGAUGAAAGGAUGCCAUUUCUCAUUAAAAAGAUCCAUUCUUCUGCAGUGCUAAA